rnacentral:rRNA from 1 species
CCUACGGGAGGCAGCAGUGAGGAAUAUUGGACAAUGGGCGCAAGCCUGAUCCAGCCAUGCCGCGUGCAGGAUGACGGUCCUAUGGAUUGUAAACUGCUUUUGCACAGGAAGAAACAACAUUACGUGUAAUGUCUUGACGGUACUGUGAGAAUAAGGAUCGGCUAACUCCGUGCCAGCAGCCGCGGUAAUACGGAGGAUCCAAGCGUUAUCCGGAAUCAUUGGGUUUAAAGGUCCGUAGGCGGUUUAGUAAGUCAGUGGUGAAAGCCCAUCGCUCAACGGUGGAACGGCCAUUGAUACUGCUAGACUUGAAUUAUUAGGAAGUAACUAGAAUAUGUAGUGUAGCGGUGAAAUGCUUAGAGAUUACAUGGAAUACCAAUUGCGAAGGCAGGUUACUACUAAUGGAUUGACGCUGAUGGACGAAAGCGUGGGUAGCGAACAGGAUUAGAUACCCUGGUAGUCCACGCCGUAAACGAUGGAUACUAGNUGUGGUCGCGAGUACGUAGUGGCGUAGACGAAGUAGAGUAAGUAGUACCGUAACCGUCGGGGUAGGUUACGGUUACGUCGAAGAAGUAGAACGUUACGAAAGUAGUUAAGUUAGACGGACGUUGAGGACGUUCGCCGACGGACGACGACGAGGGAGGAGG